rnacentral:rRNA from 1 species
AUGGAGCUCUCCAAUCACGCUCUUCUCCUCCAUCUGGUGCUUGCGGCGCUCCUCCAUCCUACCGUCGUCGUCGCUUUUGACGAUGCCACAUCAGGCCGCAGCAAGGGCUUUAGCCUGCGCCUGGUCCCUAGCCCCGGCUGGAACAGUACCAUCCACGUCGACGACGACGGCUUCGUGCACCUGAACAAGCCAGUUGAGCACGCCCCCAACGUACUUCGGCCGCACAUGCCUCACAAAGAGAGGUACAACAUCAUCACCACCGUCGGGACGGGCCAUGGCCGCCGCACGUACACCCUCGCGAUGGAGAUGACCCAGAGCCUGACGUGGAUGCAGUGCGUGCCGAUCCAAAACCCGUUUCAGCAGGUGCCGCCGCCCUUCGACCCGACGGCCUCGCCGUCAUUCCACCCGCUCGCGCCCACCAACCACCUUUGCUCGCCGCCGGGGGGCAGCGUGUGCAGGUUCAGGAGCAACCCCAUGUUCCUCGGUGUCACGAGUGGAAGCGGUGUGCUCGGCCAUGAGACCAUGUCCUUCGCGGCCUCGGGCCAUGGCGCCGCGCCGGCGGUCGAACCCGCCGUCGUCAUCGGCUGCGCGCACACCAGCGAGCGUUUCAGAAGCCACGGAGUGCUUGCCGGCAUCCUCGCCCUGGGCAAGACGUACCCGUCGCUCAUCUGGUUACUGGGCCGUGGCGGCUUGCAUCGCUUCUCCUACUGCCUCUUCUUCCCGCAGGGGAACCGGCACGGGUUCCUCCGGUUCGGCAGCGACAUCCCGGUCGACACGAGGCACAUGAAGAGCACCAGGCUGCUCUACCCCGAGGCGAGCGCCUACUACGUCAACCUCGCCGGCAUCAGCUUUGGCAGGACGCGGCUGGGCGGCAACCUGGCGGAGGUGUUCAGGCGCCGAAAGCUCGCGGAUGGCAGUUGGCACAGUGGUUGCGUGCUUGACGCCGGGAUGUUCUGGGGGGGUACGUUCAUGAUCAGGCCUGCGUACGACAUCCUGGAGCGCGCCCUGGCGGAGCACGGCAGGAGGCUCGGGGUGCCGCGCGUACCCCGCCACAACUUCGGUCUCUGCUUCCGCGCGACCCGCGCCAUCUUGUUGCAUUGGCCGACGGUGACGCUGCACUUCGAAUCCGAGCAGGACCUUGUGCUCACGCCGAAUAAGCUGUUUGUCCUGCAGGAUCAAGACAUGUGCCUCACCGUGACACCGAACCCGCAGAUUACCGUCAUCGGCCCAGCGACGCAAGUGGGCACGCGCUUCGUCUACGACCUCGCCGCCGGCAGGGUGUACUUCGCCCCUGAAAACUGCAAUGCCGACACUGGCGUCUAG